rnacentral:misc_RNA from 1 species
UGUGUGUGUGUGUGUGUGUUUGUGGGUUGCUGGGCUUUAUAUUAAGCGUCAUCUGCAAAACCAAAUGGAACCGAAGUCAUUCUGUUUGAUUCAGUUCAGUUUUCAUAAUUUUAAUAAUUCAGUUUUUGGUUUUAUCUGAACUGACCAUCUGCACAUCCCUAUGUUUUGCUAAGAAUGCUUCCAUUUUAAUACCUUAGGAUCAGAUAGUGGUGGUCUUUGCAGUGAUGCUAAUGUGCUGUUCCAUUAGUUUGUGUUUGAGAUCUAAUUGAAACAAUAUGUACCCUGUUAUGUCCA